CGCACAUAAGACAUGCAAGUCGAACGGAAGUCGCUAAGAAACAGAUUGACGAUUUAUCUGAUUGAAGUUCAUAGCAAUGACUUUAGUGGCGGACUGGUGAGUAACACGUAAGCAACCUGCCUAUCAGAGGGGAAUAACAGUGAGAAAUCGAUUGCUAAUACCGCAUAAGCUAGUAGUAUCGCAUGGUACAGCUAGAAAAGGAGCAAUCCGCUGAUAGAUGGGCUUGAACGUCUGAUUAGCUAGUUGGUGGGGUAACGGCCUACCAAGGCAACGAUCAGUAGCCGGACUGAGAGGUUGAACGGCCACAUUGGGACUGAGAUACGGCCCAGACUCCUACGGGAGGCAGCAGUCGGGAAUAUUGCGCAAUGGAGGAAACUCUGACGCAAGUGACGCCGCGUAUAGGAAGAAGGUUUUCGGAUUGUAAACUAUUGUCGUGAGGGAAGAAGAUGACAGUACCUCAGGAGGAAGCUCCGGCUAACUAUGUGCCAGCAGCCGC
rnacentral:rRNA from 1 species